UGAAGGUCAGGCUGAAGACCUUACCGGAUUAGCUGAGAGGUGGUGCAUGGCCGUCGUCAGUUCGUACUGUGAAGCAUCCUGUUAAGUCAGGCAACGAGCGAGACCCACGUCCACAGUUGCCAGCAUACCCGUCCGGGGUGAUGGGUACACUGUGGAGACCGCCGCUGCUAAAGCGGAGGAAGGAAUGGGCAACGGUAGGUCAGUAUGCCCCGAAUCUCCCGGGCUACACGCGGGCUACAAUGGUUGGUACAAUGGGCAUCUACCCGAAAGGGGAAGGAAAUCUCUUAAAGCCAAUCGUAGUUCGGAUUGAGGGCUGCAACUCGCCCUCAUGAAGCUGGAAUCCGUAGUAAUCGCGUUUCAACAGAACGCGGUGAAUACGUCCCUGCUCCUU
rnacentral:rRNA from 1 species